CAGAGGGUGCAAGCGUUGUUCGGAAUUAUUGGGCGUAAAGGGCGCGUAGGCGGUGCGGUAAGUCUUUUGUGAAAUCUCCGGGCUCAACUCGGAGUCUGCAGGAGAACUGCCGUGCUGGAGUAUGGGAGAGGUGAGUGGAAGUUCCCGGUGUAGCGGUGAAAUGCGUAGAUAUCGGGAGGAACACCUGUGGCGAAAGCGGCUCACUGGACCAUUACUGACGCUGAGGCGCGAAAGCUAGGGGAGCAAACAGGAUUAGAUACCCUGGUAGUCCUAGCCCUAAACGAUGAUUGCUUGGUGUGGCAGGUACCCAAUCCUGCUGUGCCGAAGCUAACGCGAUAAGCAAUCCGCCUGGGGAGUACGGUCGCAAGGCUG
rnacentral:rRNA from 1 species